rnacentral:tRNA from 1 species
GCGGCAGUAGCUCAAUGGCGGAGCAUCGGAUUGUGGUUCCGAGGGUUGCGGGUUCAAAUCCCGUCUGCCGCCCCA